rnacentral:rRNA from 1 species
UACAGAGGGUGCAAGCGUUAAUCGGAAUUACUGGGCGUAAAGCGCCUGUAGGUGGUUUGGAAAGUUUGAUGUGAAAUCCCUGGGCUUAACCCGGGAAUGGCGUUGAAGACUAUCAGACUAGAGUCGGACAGAGGGUUGUGGAAUUUCCGGUGUAGCGGUGAAAUGCGUAGAGAUCGGAAGGAACACCAGUGGCGAAGGCGGCAACCUGGGUCCAGACUGACACUGAGGGGCGAAAGCGUGGGGAGCAAACAGG